CGGGCUGGUCGAAAGAUCCGGGCCCGACAGGAAGGCGGAGGCUCUCUCC
rnacentral:sRNA from 19 species